rnacentral:siRNA from 1 species
AUAUUGGUGCAUUUCUACCUG